AGCCCUGCGAGGCGAAGAGCAGGGCUCCCAGGCACGACCUGCGGCCCCAAGAGGGCCUGGGACACCGAGCCAGCUGCGGUCUGGUCUCCAAAAAGCACCAGCUUUAAGGCUGUGUGGUGCGAAAGCCUGGAAACACUGAGGCCAGAGCGGGAAUGUCUGCUUCAGCACCCAGGUAACUGAGCUCCAAAGAGAUGAACAGAAUGUGGCGCACCUGCGUAAUGGGAUGCAGCCCGGCCAGAGAUACCCAGAAGAGAAAACCCACAGAA